AAAUAAAAUAAAAUAAAAUAAAAUUCCUUAAUGAUACAGCAACUUUUGCUUCUUAUAGUUAAUUUUCUAUAUUGCAAUGGAAAUCUUUCUUAUGAAUUUUCCUGAGGCACUGCAAAGAAAACUAUUUCAGCAGUAGGAGCCUUCUCGUAAUCAUCUACCUCUCUAUUGAUCCCAGAUGGUAAGGGAGAUGAAUAAAGGAUGGCCAUCUUCUUUAAAGAUGUAGCAUGCUUGAGCAAGUACUUUAUGAGCUCCAACUCAUUAUCCCCUUUGUGAAAAAGCUCUAUUGCCGCUUUCUCCAAUUUAUGAACAAAAGCUAGGUUUUGAGACUCCCAAUAUCCCAGGGUAAAUCCAUAUGAUUUCGAUUCCAUUUUUGUUAAUCUUUUAGCAAGGAAGUAGUCAUGGUAUUUUAUUGUAAGAGUCUUCAGAUUAGGUGUUCCUUUGAGCAACGAAGCUAUAGCAGGCACCAAACAAUCAUCUAAAUUGUUGGUAUAUAUACUGAGGGAACUCAAAUUACAGAAGAGUGAUGGUAGACAACCCUGCUUAAACAUAAUCUCAUUGCAUUCAUAAUCUAUAUAUAGAUUGGUAGUUGUACAUAUGCUAUCAAGUAGACUUGACAAGUUCUUAUUGGUAGAAAACUCGUGCCUAUCCAAGGAAGGAUCUUGCUUGACAUUGAUUCCAGUAACUUGUAGAUGGUUCAACUUCCCCAAGCAGUAUGAAUCCACAAGAUAACUCUCCCAAAUCAGACGAAUAAGAUUUGGGGCAAAGAUUUUCAAUAACUUGGGAUUAGAAGAACGACCUCUCCAAAACAAGAGAAACGAAGUAAGCUUUUCUGCCGAUAUGAUUAUAUUGCUCAGUUUACUAGAGGAAGGAUUAUCUAUGGUCAAACGUUCAAGGGUGGAGCUAUUGAUCAUAAUAUUCUUUACCCCAUCAAUGUAAGCAAGCAAUAAUUUUUCAAGGUGCUUGCAGAAAGAUGAAAUCCACUCUCCAAAAGCCUCAUUACUAAUUUUAAGAUUUUUCAAAGAUAAGGAUUUGAGAUUGCAGAAGCCACCUGAGAGGGGAAAUUUAUCAAGAAUGCCUCCAUCCAAGUCUACUUUUAAUUCCUUUAAUGAUUCACAAUGAAAUACAGGAAGCGGCAACGAGAAAACAUCUUCUCUAUUGAGGAGGAGGAUUUCGAGAUGAAGCAACUGAACCUUACAUACUAUUGCAUUAUACAGCCAUGUAAGAACACGGAAUUUUUCAUCAGCAUUGGCAGCGGCAAAAGGCCAGCGAAUAGUUAUGCGUUGGGUCUCCAUUCCUUUUCGGAGAGCAAACAAUCUGUCCACGUAAUUUAUCAACUCACCCUUUAGACCUCUGUCUUCCCAUAAGAAGCCAUCAAAAGUCAAGAAAGGAAUGGAUAUGCAGAAUUCUCUUAGCUUUUUCGAGAUAAGGGACAAGUAUGAAAGUUCUUGCAUUUCGAGGAAAGAAAGAAUGUGAUGGAUAACAGGGUCCGGAAGAUUGCUGAUUCUGUCUCUAUCACUCCUUGGAGACUUCAUCAUAGUACCCAUUAAAGCGAAUCACUUGGCUUAAGGUCUCUACACUCUCUGUUCUACCCAACGAUCAAACCCUUAAUAAGUACUCUAAGUUCCAAUCUUCAAUCCCUUACCAAUGAAGAAACGUCACAUAACGCAGGUAACGCCAACUCAGGUCGUGGGUUUUAUUAAUGGGAUUUGCUAGGAUCAUUAAAUGAAGAAGAAGGAAGAAGGAGAAAAAGGAACAGAUCUGCCAUCGAGAUCCCCACCUCUUCUCUAACUCACGCCCCUACCCGAACUGCUCCUUCCCUCCAUAGCGACUUGACGGACUUCACAGAGCUCUCUCUCAAUUGUAAAGGUGACAAAAGGAGACAAAAUCAAGGAAAUAGAGAGAAG
rnacentral:misc_RNA from 1 species